GUACCCUUAGCUCAGUUGGUUAGAGCAGACGACUCAUAACCGUCCGGUCGUAGGUUCGAGUCCUACAGGGUACA
rnacentral:tRNA from 1 species